CCUACGGGAGGCAGCAGUGAGGAAUUUUCGUCAAUGGGCUUACGCCUGAACCAGCCAAGUCGCGUGAGCGAAGACUGCCCUCUGGUUUGUAAACCUCUUUUGUCAGGGAACAACGCCGGCUACGUGUAGCCGUACUGAGAGUACCUGCAGUAAAAGCAUCGGCAAACUCCGUGCCAGCGGCCGCGGUAAUUCAGAGGAUGCGAGCGUUAUCCGGAUUUAUUGGGUUUAAGGGUUGCGUGGGGGGCAGGCCAAGUCAGCGGUAAAAUCGCGGGGCUAAACCUCGCACGGCCGUUGAAACUGGCGUUAUGGAGUGAGCGAGAAGUAUGCGGAAUGCGUGGGGUAGCGGUGAAAU
rnacentral:rRNA from 1 species